rnacentral:rRNA from 1 species
UACAGAGGUCCCGAGCGUUGUUCGGAUUCACUGGGCGUAAAGGGUGCGUAGGUGGCGAGGUAAGUCGGAUGUGAAAGCUCGGAGCUCAACUCCGAAAUGGCAUUGGAAACUACCUUGCUCGAGGGUUGGAGGGGGGACUGGAAUUUACGGUGUAGCGGUGAAAUGCGUAGAUAUCGUAAGGAAGACCAGUGGCGAAGGCGGGUCUCUGGACAGUUCCUGACGCUGAGGCACGAAGGUCAGGGGAGCAAACGGG